AAGACGUUGGAGUUAAUAGCUUCAGCGUUUGACGUUAGCAACAGAAGAAGCACCGGCUAACUCCGUGCCAGCAGCCGCGGUAAUACGGAGGGUGCGAGCGUUAAUCGGAAUUACUGGGCGUAAAGCGCAUGCAGGCGGUCUGUUAAGCAAGAUGUGAAAGCCCGGGGCUCAACCUCGGAACAGCAUUUUGAACUGGCAGACUAGAGUCUUGUAGAGGGGGGUAGAAUUUCAGGUGUAGCGGUGAAAUGCGUAGAGAUCUGAAGGAAUACCGGUGGCGAAGGCGGCCCCCUGGACAAAGACUGACGCUCAGAUGCGAAAGCGUGGGGAGCAAACAGGAUUAGAUACCCUGGUAGUCCACGCCGUAAACGAUGUCUACUUGAAGGUUGUGGCCUUGAGCCGUGGCUUUCGGAGCUAACGCGUUAAGUAGACCGCCUGGGGAGUACGGUCGCAAGAUUAAAACUCAAAUGAAUUGACGGGGGCCCGCACAAGAAAACAGUUG
rnacentral:rRNA from 1 species